AGCCACCGUGCCCGGCCAAGUCCAGGAGAUCAAGACCAGCCUGGGCAAUAUAGUGAGACCCCAUCCCUAAAAAAAAAAACCAAAAUUGUUUUUAAUUAGCUGGUCAUGGUAGUGCAUGCGUGUGGUCCCAGCUACUCGGAAGGCUGAAAUUGGGAGAGUCCCUUGAGCCCAGCAGGUUGAGGCUACAGUGAGCCCCGUGACUGCACCACUACACUCUAGCCUGGGUGACAGAGGGAGACCCUGUCUCAUUUAAAAAAAAAAAAAAAGAAGAAAAAAAAAUGAAAAAAAGGUUGUCUUCUUAUUUUUAGCUAUAGAGUUCUUUACCUAUUGCGGAUAUAAGUCCUUUAUCAGAUAUGUCUUUGCAAAUGCUUUCCGUCCACCUACGGCUCAUCUUUUCAUUUGCCUAAUGCUAUCUUUGGAACAGCAAAAGUUUUUCAUUUUGCUGAAGUCCAGUUUGUCCAUUUUUUCUUUUAUGGAGCAUAGUUUUGGUACCGUAUUUAAGAAUUCUUUGCCUAACCCAAGUUUCACAAAGAUUUUCUCGUAUCCCUCCAGAACUCUUAUAGUUCUAGCUCUUACAUUUAGGCCUGGGAUCCAGUGUGAGUUAUUUUUUAUGGAAAAGAUAAAGUUCUAAAUUCAUCUUUUCUUCAUGGGGAUGUUCAAUCAUCCCAGCAUCAUUUGUUGAGAACACCGUCCUUUUGCCGUUGAGUUGCCCUGGCACCUUGGUUGAAAAUCAGUCAGCCCUAAGAGUCAGGGUUGAUGCCUGGACCCCCCGUCUGCUCCACUGAUCUGUCUAUCCUGAUUUAUCCUCAGUCUAUGCCAGGGCCACGCUAUCUGGAUUCUUGUUGCUUUUAGCACGUUUUCCAAUUGGAGAGUCCUCCAGUUUUGUUUUUCCUUUUCAAAAUGAUCUUGACUCUGCUGGGACCUUUACAUUUCUGUAUAAAAUUUUAAGAUCAGUUUGCCAACUUCUGCAACAACAACAAAAGAAGGCUGCUGGAAUGUUGAUGGAGGUGCGUUGAACCCCUCUGGAGAGAAUGUCCAGAUGAAAUCUUACCAACACUGAGGCCUCCAUCUCAUGAACACAGAAGCAUCUCUCCAUUUAGGUAGAGUUCUUACUUUAUCACCAGCGUCUUGUUCCUUUCAGCACACAUCUUGCACUUCUUUGUGAAAGCUAUUAAUACAUAAUAAUGUUAUUUAUUAGAUAUUGAAUUAUAAUUAUUUUAUUAAUUAUUUCUAAAUGCUGAUAAAUUUGUUUAUUCUUUUUAUGCCAUCAUGAGUAGAAUUUUCUUAACUUCAUUUCAGAGGUUGCCGUAGACUACAAUUGAUUUUUACAUAUUGACCUCAUUUCCUUUGACUUGCUUUACUCAUUUAUUAGUUCUACUAGUUUCUUAGAGGAUUCCUUAAGAUUUUCUCUAUAUACGAUCAUAUUGUUUAUAAAUAAAUACAGUUUUACUUCUUCCUUUUCAGUCUGAACAUGAAAAGCUGCAAGGUUUUUACAUUACCUCCAGCAAUGAAAGAGGGUUCCAAUGGCUUUACACCCUCCUCAGUACUUGCUAUUGUCUGUCUUCUUUUUUUUUUUUUUUUUUUUCUGAGACUGAGUUUUGCUCUGUCAUCCAGGCUAGAGUGCAGUGGCUCAAUCUCGGCUCACUGCAAGCUCCACCUCCUGGGUUCACACCAUUCUCCUGCCUCAGCCUCCUGAGUAGCUGAGACUACAGGCGCCUGCCACCAUGCCCGGCUAAUUUUUUUGUAUUUUUUUAGUACAGACAGGGUUUCACCCUGCUAGCCAGGAUGAUCUCAAUCUCCUGACUUCUUGAUCCACCACCCUCGGCCUCCCAAAGUGCUGGGAUUACAGGCAUCAGCCACUGCCCCCCGCCUUUUUUUUUUUUUGAGACUGGGUCUUGCUUUAUUGUCCAGGCUGGAGUGCAGUGGUGCAAUCUCAGCUCACUGCAACCUCUGCUUCCCGGGCUCAAGCGAUUCUCCUGCCUCAGCCUCCCAAGUAGCUGGCACUACAGGCACCCACCACCACGCCCAGCUAAUUUUUGUAUUUUUAGUAGAGACAGGGUUUCACCAUGUUGGCCAGAAUGGUCUCCAUCUUCUGACCUUGUGAUCCACCCGCCUCAGCCUCCCAAAGUGCUGGGAUUACAAGCAUGAGCCACCGUGCUGGCCUGUCUGUCUUUUGGAUGUAGCCAUCUUUGUGGGUGUGAAGUGGUGCCUUCUUGUGGUUUGGAUUUACAUUUCCCUAAAGGCUAAUGAUGUUGAGCAUCUUUUUGUGUGCUAUGGGCCAUUUGUAGAUCUUAGUUGGAGAAAUGGAGAUAAGAGGCAGAACUUGACUCCAGAAGUGGGGCUCAGACACAAGACCAAAUUGAGGACUAGAUAAAACAGGGUCAGGGAGGAAGCAGCCUUCCAUAAGACACGCCCACCAACGCAUCAUGCCAGUUUACCAUCACCAUGGCAACACCUGGGAGUUACCACCCCUUUCCAUGGCAAUGGCCUGAUGACCCAAAAGUUACUGCCGCUUCCCUAGAAAUGUCCACAUAAACCACCCCUUGAUCUGCACGCAGUUAAAAGUGGGUAUAAAUAUGACUGCGACACUGCCCUGAGCUGCUGCUUUCUGCCUGGGGGGCAGCCCCGCUCUGCAGGAGCUGUAGCCCUGCCGCUUCCAUACCUCCCAUUCACCCUUAAAUCCUUCCCUGGCCAAAGCCAAGAACCCUCACAGGCUAAGCCCUGCUGUAGAGCUCACCUGCUCUGCAUCAAGAUGUCGUAAGAGUUCUUGACAUAUUCUAGACACAAGCCCCUUAUCAGAUAUCUAAUUUGCAAAUACAUUUUUCCAUUUUGUGGGCAGUCAGACAGUUUCUUGCUGGUGUCCUUUGAAACACAAAAGUUUUAAGUUUCGAUGAAACCCAAUUCUCUCUUUUUCUUUUUGUUGCUUUUGAUGUCAUAUCUAUGAAGACUUUGCUUAGUCUGGAGUCAUGGAGAUUUACUCCUGUGUUUUCUUUUAAGAAUUUUAUAUUUUUAGGCCAGGCACGGUGGCUCACGCCUGUAAUCCCAGCACUUUGAGAGGCCAAGGCAGGUGGAUCACCUGAGGUCAGGAGUUCAAGACCAGCCUGGCCAACGUGGCAAAACCCUGUCACCACUAAAAAAUACGAAAACUAGCUGGGCAUAGUGGCGGGUGCCUGUAGUCCCAGCUACUUGAGAGGCUGAGGCAGGGAGAAUUGCUUGAACCCAGGAGGCAGAGGUUGCAGUGAGCCGAGAUCACGCCACUGCACCCCAGAGCAAGACUCCAUCUCAAAAAAAAAUGACAUAUUUUUAGCUCUUACAUUUAGGACUGUGAACCGUUCGGUAUUAAUCUUUUUGUUUGGUGUAAGGAAGGGGUCCAACUGCUGUAUAUUCCUUUGAAUGUGGGUAUCUAUUUGUCUUAAGAUCAUUUGUUAAAAAGAGUAUUCUUUCCCCAAUUAUCUUUUUGUUUGUUUUUGUAAUUUUUUUUUUUGUAGAGACAGAAUCUCACUAUGUUGCCCAGGCUGGUCUCAAACUCCCAGGCUCAAGCGAUCCUCCCACCUCAGUCUCCCAAAAUACUGGGAUCACAGGCAUAAGCCACCAAGCCUGGCCUUUUUUCUUUUUCUUUUUUUUUUUUUUUUUUGAUAGAGCAAUGAAUUAUCUUGUCCUUCAGUUUGCUAAAGUUUUUUUGGGAAUUUCUGCAUCCCUGUUCGUGAAGGAUAUUGGCAUGAAAUUUUCUUUUCUUGUAAUGUCUUUGUCUAGUUUUGCUAUCAAGGUAAUGCUGUCCUCAUAGAAUGAGUGAAUUGGGAAAAAUUCUCUCUUCAAUUUUCGGGAAGAGUUUGUGUGCACUUGAGAAGAAUGUGAAUUUUGUUGUGUACAAUAUUUUAUAAAUCAGGUCAAUUUUGUUGAUAUUAUUGUUUUUCUACGUAUUUUUCUAUGUAUUUUUCUAUGUGUUUUUCUAUGUAUUUUUCUAUGUAUUUUUCUAUGUAUUUUGUUGAUAUUAUUGAUAUUCUGUGUAUGUAUGUAUACUAUGUCCUUGCUGAUUUUCUGUCUGCUUGUUUUAUCAGUUAUUGAGAGUAGCAUAUUGAAAUAUCUGACUAUGAUAGAUUUGCCUUGCUGGGUGCAGUGCCUCAUACCUGUCAUCCUAGCAUUUUGAGAGGCUGAGGCGAGCACAUCACUUGAAGUCAGGAGUUUGAGACCAGCCUGGCCAACAUGGUGAAGCCCCAUCUCUACUAAAAUCUCUACUAAAAAUACAAAAAUUAGCCAGGCAUGGUGGUUCACACCUGUAAUCCCAGCUACUUGGGAGGCUGAGGCAGGAGAAUUGCUUGAACCUGGGAGGCGGAGGUUGCAGUGAGCUGAGAUCGCACCACUGUACUACAGCCUGGGUGACAGAGCAAGAUCCUGUCUCAAAACAAGCAAACAAACAAAAGAUUUGCCUAUUUCUGCUUUUAUUUUUUUUUUAAUUUUAUUAUUAUUAUACUUAAAGUUUUAGGUACCUGUGCACAAUGUGCAGGUUAGUUACAUAUGUAUACAUGUGCCAUGUUGGUGUACUGCAACCAUUAACUGGUCAUUUAGCAUUAAGUAUAUCUCCUAAAGCUAUCCCUCCCACCUCCCCCCACCCCACAACAGUCCCCAGAGUGUGAUGUUCCCCUUCCUGUGUCCAUGUGUUCUCAUUGUUCAAUUCCCACCUAUGAGUGAGAAUAUGCGGUGUUUGGUUUUUUGUUCUUGCGAUAGUUUACUGAGAAUGAUGAUUUCGAAUUUCAUCCAUGUCCCUACAAAGGACACGAACUCAUCAUUUUUUAUGGCUGCAUAGUAUUCCAUGGUGUAUAUGUGCCACAUUUUCUUAAUCCAGUCUAUCAUUGUUGGACAUUUGGGUUGGUUCCAAGUCUUUGCUAUUGUGAAUAGUGCCGCA
rnacentral:lncRNA from 10 species